rnacentral:rRNA from 1 species
AUGAACGCUAGCUACAGGCUUAACACAUGCAAGUCGAGGGGCAUCAUGACUAUAGCUUGCUAUAGUUGAUGGCGACCGGCGCACGGGUGAGUAACGCGUAUCCAAUCUACCUCAAACAAGGGAAUAACCCGUUGAAAGACGGCCUAAUGCCCUAUGCAGUCGUUCAAUGGCAUCAGCGUACGACGAAAGGAAUUAUCCGGUAUGAGAUGAGGAUGCGUCCGAUUAGCUUGUUGGCGGGGUAACGGCCCACCAAGGCAACGAUCGGUAGGGGUUCUGAGAGGAAGGUCCCCCACACUGGUACUGAGACACGGACCAGACUCCUACGGGAGGCAGCAGUGAGGAAUAUUGGUCAAUGGGCGAGAGCCUGAACCAGCCAAGUAGCGUGCAGGAUGACGGCCCUAUGGGUUGUAAACUGCUUUUUACGAGGAUAACAGACAUCACGUGUGAUGUUUUGCAGGUAUCGUAAGAAUAAGGACCGGCUAAUUCCGUGCC